ACCAUAGUGGAUCGUCUGUGUUAGGCGUACUGCUCACUCUCCUCUUCUUCGUCUGUUAUGUGUAGUGCACGCGAUUUGUGUACUUUAUCAUACAAACAGAUUCAUGGCUUUCCCCAUCACAUCGUCUCUUAGCACGCCUCUUCGGCGUUUCAGAUUACUUUUUUUUUUCACAAAAACGACGUUUCAGAUUUACCAUUAAUCUUCUCAUCUAUUGAUGGUUUCUCUUCAGUCUUCGCGAAUCUCAUUAAAAACUUGCCUUUCCACAAUCCUUUGCCACAAUCCUAUUUGAAAACAUCUUCCGCUUCUCGCUUCUAUGACGGGAAGGGCUUUGUCUUUGAUGAUUUCUGUUUUAAAGCCAUGGUUGGAAGAUCUACAGGCUUGGUCGAUGCUUGAUCAACUAUCUGACCUCAAAAUAAAGGAGGAAAUGAUAUAGGAAACCAACAGAGAUCUUAAGAGAAAGAUAGUGCCAUCGAAAUCUUAAUGCCCAAAAAAUUGAAUUCAUUUGAGAUCUUUAACGAUAUUUCUGGCCUUCUCUCUCAAUCUAUCUCAGUUGGAGGAAAGUGAUGCAGCCCUUAAUCAAUCAUUAAGGGGAUCUUCUUCUGCAGAACAUCAUCAACAACAGUAACAACAAGGCAUGAGCUCUUAUCAAGCAAACGUUGACUUAUAGUUGACUUUUGUUUGUUUUUAUGGAACAAUCAGUACAAUCAAUGGUGUGACAAAUGCAAGCAACUCUGCAACAUCACAUAAUGUUACCAACGGGUUCUUCCCUGGAUGAAUGGUCUGAAAAAAUACAUAGCAAUCUAUAGGUAUCAUGGUUGUGCCAUUAGGUUUCUCCAAGAAAACAAUAGUUCAUGAUUACAGAACACUGAUAUAUAACUAAGGCUGUCUGUGACAAUAUAUAUAUAUAUAUAUAUAUAUAUAUAUAUAUAUAUAUAUAUAAUAACUAAGGCUGUAAUAUCACACUCCACAUUCUUUGUUUUUCUCUUAAAAUUCAUAAAUGUUUUUGAACUUCUUAAAAUAAAAAUUUUUUGUGGGAGCAUUCUUUUAAUCAUUAUAAAAUAUUGUACAAACUCAGUUGGAUUAUGAUUAAAUUCUCUGGAUUUGUAUAUCUAUCAAGGUAUUCUUUUUAAAUGUGUUUGUACAUAUAUAUUCACAUGUAG